UGAAGAAUAUAUUUGUUAGUUCUCUAUCUUUUUUGUAAUGCACAUAUGCUUGUGGCAUGCACUGAAAUUCUUAUACACUUUACCAGACACACUUGCACAGACAUGUAGAACAACAAUCAAACAAAAUAACUGGAAAUAAUCAAACACCAUUCCUUUACUAAGUAACUAACAUCUCACUUUAGAUAGCAUAUUUGUUCUUCCCUGAUGUCAUGGAAUAAUUCUUGUUAAUUAUAAUCCAUGACAGAAUGAUAUGCAUGUACUCAAUAAUUUUGUGAUAACACAGUAGAACUCUACAAAUGAGUUCCGUCCUUGGAUGGAUCAAGCGUUGAUGUGUCGCACCCACACACACAUGUGUGUUAUGUGGUAAUCCGCGUGUCUGGCAGUCCAUGAGGUAGAGGAUGAACUGUGGAUUUAUCUAAGCAACCUUGGCUCUAGAUCAAGCUUGUGUUUCAGUAGGACGUGCAUCUAGUAACUUUGUGAUAACACAAAUGUAUACUUUUACUUACGAAGCCUUUUAUCCCAAACAAGUUGGGGUAGGCUAGAUAUGAAACCCUUUCACGAGGACUUCCCAGGAGGUCACCCAUCCUAGUACUACUCUCGCUCAAAUGGGUUUCAUACCUAUGGGACUGGCUAGUUUUUACGUUGGCUCGCCAAGCCUAUCACAACCCUCCUCCUUUACCCGGGCUUGGGACCGGCUAUGCCUAGAAGACAUAGGCGGAGUU